CAUCGUUGAAUCUCGCCACCAAA
rnacentral:snRNA from 1 species